rnacentral:rRNA from 1 species
UACGUAGGGUGCGAGCGUUGUCCGGAAUUACUGGGCGUAAAGAGCUCGUAGGCGGUUUGUCGCGUCGGCCGUGAAAUCUCCACGCUUAACGUGGAGCGUGCGGUCGAUACGGGCAGACUUGAGUUCGGUAGAGGAGACUGGAAUUCCUGGUGUAGCGGUGAAAUGCGCAGAUAUCAGGAGGAACACCGGUGGCGAAGGCGGGUCUCUGGGCCGAUACUGACGCUGAGGAGCGAAAGCGUGGGGAGCGAACAGG